rnacentral:rRNA from 1 species
UACGAAGGGGGCUAGCGUUGUUCGGAAUUACUGGGCGUAAAGCGCACGUAGGCGGAUUUGUAAGUCAGGGGUGAAAUCCCGGGGCUCAACCUCGGAACUGCCUUUGAUACUGGGUUUCUUGAGUUCGGAAGAGGUAAGUGGAAUUGCGAGUGUAGAGGUGAAAUUCGUAGAUAUUCGCAGGAACACCAGUGGCGAAGGCGGCUCACUGGCCCGAUACUGACGCUGAGGUGCGAAAGCGUGGGGAGCAAACAGG